rnacentral:rRNA from 1 species
AGUUGUUGUGGUUAAAAGCUCGUAGUUGAACCUUGGGCCUGGCUGGCCGGUCCGCCUCACCGCGUGUACUGGUCCGGCCGGGCCUUUCCCUCUGUGGAACCCCAUGCCCUUCACUGGGUGUGGCGGGGAAACAGGACUUUUACUUUGAAAAAAUUAGAGUGCUCCAGGCAGGCCUAUGCUCGAAUACAUUAGCAUGGAAUAAUAGAAUAGGACGUGUGGUUCUAUUUUGUUGGUUUCUAGGACCGCCGUAAUGAUUAAUAGGGGCAGUCGGGGGCAUCAGUAUUCAAUUGUCAGAGGUGAAAUUCUUGGAUUUAUUGAAGACUAACUACUGCGAAAGCAUUUGCCAAGGAUGUUUUCAUUAAUCAGGAACGAAAGUUAGGGGAUCGAAGACGAUCAGAUACCGUCGUAGUCUUAACCAUAAACUAUGCCGACUAGGGAUCGGACGAUGUUAUUUUUUGACUCGUUCGGCACC